rnacentral:rRNA from 1 species
GGGGAAUCUUCCGCAAUGGGCGAAAGUCUGACGGAGCAAUACCGCGUGAGGGAGGAAGGCUUUUGGGUUGUAAACCUCUUUUCUUAAGGAAGAAGAUCUGACGGUACUUAAGGAAUCAGCAUCGGCUAACUCCGUGCCAGCAGCCGCGGUAAUACGGAGGAUGCAAGCGUUAUCCGGAAUUAUUGGGCGUAAAGCGUCCGCAGGUGGCCUUUCAAGUCUGCUGUCAAAGACCAGAGCUCAACUCUGGGCAGGCGGUGGAAACUGGGAGGCUAGAGUACGGUAGGGGUAGAGGGAAUUCCCAGUGUAGCGGUGAAAUGCGUAGAGAUUGGGAAGAACACCAGUGGCGAAGGCGCUCUACUGGACCGAAACUGACACUCAGGGACGAAAGCUAGGGGAGCGAAAGGGAUUAGAUACCCCUGUAGUC